rnacentral:rRNA from 1 species
GUGAACGCUGGCGGUAGGCCUAACACAUGCAAGUCGAACGGCAGCACAGUAAGAGCUUGCUCUUACGGGUGGCGAGUGGCGGACGGGUGAGGAAUACAUCGGAAUCUACUUUUUCGUGGGGGAUAACGUAGGGAAACUUACGCUAAUACCGCAUACGACCUACGGGUGAAAGCAGGGGAUCUUCGGACCUUGCGCGAGUGAAUGAGCCGAUGUCGGAUUAGCUAGUUGGCGGGGUAAAGGCCCACCAAGGCGACGAUCCGUAGCUGGUCUGAGAGGAUGAUCAGCCACACUGGAACUGAGACACGAUCCAGACUCCUACGGGAGGCAGCAGUGGGGAAUAUUGGACAAUGGGCGCAAGCCUGAUCCAGCCAUACCGCGUGGGUGAAGAAGGCCUUCGGGUUGUAAAGCCCUUUUGUUGGGAAAGAAAAGCAGCAGGUUAAUACCCCGCUGUUCUGACGGUACCCAAAGAAUAAGCACCGGCUAACUUCGUG